rnacentral:rRNA from 1 species
GUCUAUGGCCAUACCACCCUGAACAAGCCCAAUGUCUGAUCUCGGAAGCUAAGCAGGGUUGGGCCUGGUUGGUACUUGGAUAGGAGACCACCUAAAAAGACCAGGUACUGUAGGCA